rnacentral:rRNA from 1 species
CGUGAGUGGCGGACGGGUGAGUAACGCGUGGGUAACCUGCCCUAUACAGGGGAUAACAGUUAGAAAUGACUGCUAAUACCGCAUAAGCGCACUAGAACCGCAUGGUUCGGUGUGAAAAACUGAGGUGGUAUAGGAUGGACCCGCGUCUGAUUAGCUUGUUGGUGGGGUAACGGCUCACCAAGGCGACGAUCAGUAGCCGGCCUGAGAGGGCGACCGGCCACAUUGGGACUGAGACACGGCCCAAACUCCUACGGGAGGCAGCAG